rnacentral:tRNA from 1 species
GGUGAUGUAGCUCAGGCGGUUAGAGCGGCGCACUCAUAACGCGCAGGUCGGUGGUUCAAGUCCACCCAUCACCACCA